GGCCAAUACCUUCUGCCUAUAAGGCAGGUCC
rnacentral:piRNA from 1 species